CAGUCGCCACGGUAAUACGAGGGGGGCAAGCGUUGUUCGGAAUUAUUGGGCGUAAAGGGUGCGUAGGCGGUUUGACAAGUCUUAUGUGAAAUCUCUGGGCUCAACCCAGAGUCUGCAUGGGAAACUGUCGGGCUUGAGUAUGGGAGAGGUGAGUGGAAUUUCCGGUGUAGCGGUGAAAUGCGUAGAUAUCGGAAGGAACACCUGUGGCGAAAGCGGCUCACUGGACCAUAACUGACGCUGAGGCACGAAAGCUAGGGGAGCAAACAGGAUUAGAGACCCCUGUAGUCCCUGUCUCUUAUAC
rnacentral:rRNA from 1 species